rnacentral:rRNA from 1 species
AUACCGGAUAGGAAAACAUAUCUGGAAUGAUUGUUUUUUUAAAGGUAACGCUUAAGGAUGAGUUGGCGGCGGAUUAGGCUGUUGGCGAGGUAACGGCUCACCAAACCGAAGAUCCGUAGGGGCUCUGAGAGGAGUAGCCCCGAGAAGGGCACUGAGAUACUGGCCCUAGCCCUACGGGGCGCAGCAGGCGCGAAAACUUUACAAUGCACGCAAGUGUGAUAGGGGAAUCCAGAGUGCUUAUACAAUGUAUAGGCUUUUGCCAAGAGUAAAUAUCUUGGAGAAUAAGUGGUGGGAAAGACUGGUGCCAGCCGCCGCGGUAACCCCAGCGCCACAAGUGGGAAUCGCGUUUAUUUGGCCUAAAGCAUCCGUAGCUGGUUUUGUAAAUCCCUUGUGAAAUUGUUAGGCUCAACCUAACAGCGUGCAGGGGACACUGCAGAACUAGGGACCGGGAGGAGUCAGAGGUAUGUUGGGGGGAGCGGUAAAAUGCUAUAAUCCCCGAUAGACCACCUGUGGCGAAGGCGUCUGACUAGAACGGGUCCGACAGUGAGGGAUGAAAGCCAGGGGAGCAAACCGGAUUAGAUACCCGAGUAGUCCCUGGCCU